rnacentral:rRNA from 1 species
AUUGAACGCUGGCGGUAUGCUUAACACAUGCAAGUCGAAAGGCAGCACGGUAUGUAGCAAUACAUAUUGGUGGCAAGUGGCGGACGGGUGAGUAACGCGUAGGAAUCGGCCCUCAAGCGGGGGACAACCCGAGGAAACUCGGGCUAAUACCGCCUAAACUCGGAAGACAAAAGCUGGGGUCGCCUGGCGCUUGAGGAGGAGCCUGCGUCUGAUUAGCUAGUUGGUAGGGUAAAGGCCUACGAAGGCGAUGAGCAGUAGCUGGUCGGAGAGGAUGACCAGCCACACUGGAACUGAGACACGGGCCAGACGCCUACGGGAGGCAGAAGUGGGGAAUAUUGCACAAUGGGCGCAAGCCUGAUGCAGCAGCGCCGCGUGAGGGAUGACGGCCUGCGGGUUGUAAACCUCUUUUAGUAGGGAAGAAGCGAAAGUGACGGUACCUGCAGAAAAAGCACCGGCUAACUACGUGCCAGCAGCCGCCGUAA